UUAAUUCUAGAACAUUCUGGCUGACAUAACAGUUCAACGUCUUUGCUGCUGCUCUUUCUUUUGCUGAUUAGGUUCUCGCAGUGACCUCAGCACUGCGCUGAGCAAUUUUCUUGAGUGGUCACGGUUAAUUUGAUAGCAAUACGAGCCUCCAGCCGGCACCCUCUUAACUCAAAAGCCUGUUUUUAACCUUACUCUUAGACUCUGUCAAGCAGGACGACCACUGAAAACCUCAUCCUUGCCUCAGCUCUUGGUCGCGGCUGUCUCGAGCUCUGAGUUGAGGAGGAUCCCGAGCGUGUGGCGAUGAAUUGGGUGGUGAUCGUUGCUGACAAGCUACAUCUCUAAGUUCUUUCUGAGGCUUGGAGGAAUUGUUCAUCGGCUCCAGCGGCAAUGCUGGAAAAAGAUCAAGCACGUUUUUUUGAGUCAGUGAUUCUGCCCAAUGCAAGGCCGGAAACCUGUUAGGGUGUUCGUGCAACUCAGAUUAGGAGGGACUGGAAAGCAACAGGCAGAGCAAAAUUCCACAACAGCGUGAAAUCCUCAAGAUGCAGAGUCCUCGGGGCUCCACCUCUCCACAGCACACCACUGAGGUUGUACCAAUUGGUGAGCCACAUCCGGUGGGUCACAUCCGGUGGGUCACAUCCGGUGGGCCACAUCCCAUAAAUUCUAAACUUGUUGUUGCUCCUGCCCUGUCCUCGCCAAUACAAGAACCUGUCCAGGACCAGAGAGGUCACUGAUUGUAUCCCAGGUCACACAGCAGAAACCCCAAUUCCUGAGUUCUCCUCUGAAUCCAGCAACCUAGAGCCUCCACAGAACACCAACGGGAAUAUAAAUUAGCAACGCCUUGAGACAUA